rnacentral:rRNA from 1 species
AUACGUAGGUGCCAAGCGUUAUCCGGAUUUACUGGGCGUAAAGGGCGUGUAGGCGGUCUUGCAAGUCAGUAGUGAAAUUCCUGAGCUCAACUCGGGCGCUGCUUCUGAAACUGCAGGACUUGAGUGCUGGAGGGGAUAGCGGAAUUCCUAGUGGAGCGGUAAAAUGCGCAGAUAUUAGGAAGAACACCGGUGGCGAAGGCGGCUAUCUGGACAGGAACUGACGCUGAGGCGCGAAAGAGGGGGGAGAAAACAGGAUUGGAUACCCUGGUAGCCCACGCCGUAAACAAUGAAUACUAGGUGUAGGGGGUAUCGACUCCCUCUGUGCCGCAGUUAACACAAUAAGUAUUCCGCCUGGGGAGUACGGCCGCAAGGUUGAAACUCAAAUGAAUUGACGGGG